rnacentral:rRNA from 1 species
UACAGAGGGUGCGAGCGUUGUUCGGAAUUAUUGGGCGUAAAGGGCGCGUAGGCGGUGUUGUAAGUCACCUGUGAAACCUCUGGGCUUAACUCGGAGAGGCCACUCGAUACUGCUAUGACUAGAGUCCGGUAGGGGACUAUGGAAUUCCUGGUGUAGCGGUGAAAUGCGCAGAUAUCAGGAGGAACACCGGUGGCGAAGGCGGUAGUCUGGGCCGGAACUGACGCUGAGGAGCGAAAGCGUGGGGAGCGAACAGG